rnacentral:rRNA from 1 species
CACGUAGGGGGCAAGCGUUGUCCGGAUUUAUUGGGCGUAAAGAGCUCGUAGGCGGUUGCGUAAGUCGGAUGUGAAAACUCAGGGCUCAACCCGGAGACGCCAUCCGAUACUGCGGUGACUAGAGUCCGGUAGGGGAGCAUGGAAUUCCUGGUGUAGCGGUGAAAUGCGCAGAUAUCAGGAGGAACACCAGUAGCGAAGGCGGUGCUCUGGGCCGGUACUGACGCUGAGGAGCGAAAGCGUGGGUAGCGAACAGG